ensembl:snoRNA
CCUGUCCUUAGGGGAAUUGCAAGUGUAGCUGCUGUGUCACAAAUGUAUCAGUAGGUGAAAGAGAGGAGAAGGGCUAUUCAACACUCUGACUUAUGAACCUGUGAACAUCUGAAUGAUUAGUAGCCUAACACU